GGCUCCAGUUGCUGAGGUGAACACCAUGUCCCACAAGGAGACAGGGAGAGGAGAGAUAUACAUGUCAUAGAAUCAUAGAAUGGUUUGGAUUGGAAGGGACCUUGAAGAUCAUCUAGUUCCAGCCCCCACUCCAGUGACUGUCUCUCUCCUUGCUGUUGUUCUCCCAGCCCAUCUCUGCCACAAAGAGUGGACAGAUCUAGAGACGGUGAAGACACUGCUGGAAAAAUCAGCAGUCUGAAUCUGCAAAGCCAAGACAGGAGGCCUGCGCAGAUGCUGCUCACCCUUGUGAACAUGUUUCAAGUAUCACCUUUUUGUGUUCAAAGCCAUCAAGUCAGCCACAUGUUCACCGAGUUGUAUCUUGUCUUCUGUCUCUCAGUGCUACCCCGGAGCAUGCAAACACAGGAGGCUCCUGAAGCAUAGCUGGGAAGGUGCUGGGCACCCCCACAGGGUGCAGCCUGCCACCUGUUGCCCUGCUCAUUUUCACCACCCAGCCAAGAGACAGAUGAAGCAGAGCUCCUGCAAACUUCUGCUGAAGUGACAGUAAAGGGAGAUGCUUGAAAAAAGCCAUCAACUCCUGGCAGGGACAGAAGAAAGAGGAGAGCCCUGGUGAACCAACGGUGGUUUUUUUAAAAUAUAAAAUAAUAUACUUCAGACUUGCAGUGGUUUUUGCUUCCUGAUCAACAGUUUUAAGCCAACCCAACUACUUUCCUCUUUUUCUGGUCAUUUUAAGGUCUUUUCACCGAGGUGAAAUUAAAUACGAGGCGCGGGAGGAGACCUGCCGGUUUUCCUGCCAUUCUCACCUGCGUGGGAGUGGCAGGAGCUGGGAGUUAAGGCAGCACCGUGUAUUCACUGACCAGGCAGGCACAGAGAAGUGUGGAAGAUCACCACAGUGUAUUUAAAGCUGUGCAGCAAUAACAGCUAAUUUGUUUUUGCCUAAAGAGCAGUUAGGGUUGGUUUUGUUUCAUUUUAAAUAAAGACAUUUGGACUCCAAA